UACGAAGGGGGCUAGCGUUGUUCGGAAUUACUGGGCGUAAAGCGCACGUAGGCGGACAUUUAAGUCAGGGGUGAAAUCCCAGAGCUCAACUCUGGAACUGCCUUUGAUACUGGGUGUCUUGAGUAUGGAAGAGGUGAGUGGAAUUCCGAGUGUAGAGGUGAAAUUCGUAGAUAUUCGGAGGAACACCAGUGGCGAAGGCGGCUCACUGGCCCGAUACUGACGCUGAGGCACGAAAGCGUGGGGAGCAAACAGGG
rnacentral:rRNA from 1 species